UGGAGCUAUAGGUAAGGAUUUUGUCUCCAG
rnacentral:piRNA from 1 species